CAAGCAAAAAAAUAGAGAGUUUAAUUAAUGAAGUAAAAAUAUUUUUAAAUGGAUAUUUGUCUUUUAAUAAUAUAGAUUAAAAAAAAUAUAGCCAUUAACAGAAGAGGACGGUUCUUCUAUCUCCUAAAUAGGAGACGUCUCUUAGAGCUUUUCCUUUCUCCUCUUCUCUCAACAACAACAAGGCAGAGCCAACAGGUUGCUUCCUCCAUUCUCCUCUUCAUGAUUUCCUCCCAAGCUUGUUCCCUCCAUUGUCCUCUUCGACCUAUCUCGCUUCCUACAGCUUCGUCUCAAAGCAGACAAAGACUAGAUUUUUCAAAAAAGUUCUUAAUGUGCAGACAUUGGUGAACUGUGUGAAACGCCGAACAAUCAAAUUGAAGGCGAGACUCCAGUUUUUUUUUAAAAAAGUUCAGAGCUUUCGAAUUCUUCCACUUGGGUCAUGCGGAGAUUCGUUCAGACACGUCCUGUCGAGACAUGUACUAUGUUGAUCAGAACUGCUUUGUUCUUGUCUGAACGAGCCUUUUCUAGUCUCGGAAAAGUGGGGAGAGUCUCUUACAAAGAGAGAUUGAGAAAUGGGAUUUCUGAUAUCAAGAAAGAUGAUGUUGUUGAUCUCUUCCUAGCAUCAUAGAUUUCGGUAGAUUGUUUGGUGCCGUCGAAGAUGGAAGCAAAGGUGAAGCUUAAUGUAGUCCACUACAGUAUGGUCGUUGAUAGUCUUUGCAAAGAAGGGAGCCUCGAAGAUGCACUCAACCUUUUCAAUUAAAUGGAAACCAAAGGGAUCAAAGUAGAUGUCAUCACCUACAACACUCUCAUAGGCAUCUUCUGUAAAGCCGGAAGAUGGGAUGAUGGCACGCAGUUGUUGAGGGAUAUGAUUACAAGGGGAAUCACCCCGGACGUCUUUACUUUGGAUGCCUUGGAUCGAUUGUUUGGUGAAAGAGGGAUUGCGCCAGAUGAUUGUACAUACGACACAAUAAUCCGAGCUCAUCUAGGAGGUGGUGGUGUAGCCACUUCAGUUGAACUCAUAGAAGAAAUGAAGAGGUGUGGGUUCUCUGCAGAUGCUUCCCCCAUGAAGAUGGUUAUUGAUAUGUUAUCUGAUGGUAGACUUUUGUUGAGUGUCUAAUCUAAUCUACAAAGAGAAAGUCUUCUUUGGCGUUUUUGAAGCCAACUUUGCCUUUUUUCCACACAUGUAAACAGAGCAUGCUGUCUUCUCUUUCAGUUGGCUUUCUUUUGUCAUGCUUUCUUCUUUGAAUUCAAGCUGAUAUGUUAGUUUCUGUGUCAGUUAAGAGAGGGCCAGUUGGUAGGAUUUUGUAAGUAAGCAGUGUGUGUAAUGUAAUGCGAGAGAUUAAUGGUUAAAUAUGAAAGGAUUAUUUCGCUAA